rnacentral:piRNA from 1 species
UCAGCAUCAACCCCUGCUUCUCUCUAAAU